UGGUGCAAGAGAGCUGGUUGCUAUGGUAACCGUUGGAUGUAAAUUUCCCAGAACCCCCAACUAAACUAUUAAUCAGAAAGAUGAGGAAAGGGCCAGGGCAGUAAAUAAAUCAGGUAAGAAACUCGUUCCUACCAGGAAGGACAGGGAAUAGCCACCCUACCCCCCUCACCCCCACCCGCUACGCACACACCCCCCCUUUGAUGUUUCCGUGUGGAAGGAGGGGGCUGCUGGAGCCCGAGGAGAGCAAUGCUCUUUUUUGACUGCUUUGUUCCUCAUCCUUGUGGAGUUGGAGUGGUUGGGAAGUAGAAGCUGCAUCUGGCAUCCUUAUCACCUGAGGGGGUGAGGAGGCUUCCUGUUAGCAGGAACAUCAAAGGUAAAAAAAUAUGGGAGUCUGAAAAAAAAAGCUAUUGUGGCCAGCGCGAAAGAAGGGUUCUACCAAAGCAUGGUGAUAAGAGCAGGAUUCCUUCAGCCUUGAUAGAAGGGUUAGACUGACAGGGGCUACAUUUUCCCACCUUUGCUGGUUGGUUUGUGUGGGUUUGUCCCAAGGACUUCAUCUCCCUGGCUGGCUUUGAGGUUUAUACUAAAUGAGGAGGGGUGUGGAAAAGCUGGCCAGACCUCCUCCAAGUGAACUGGACCCACCAGGUUCCCCCUGCAGCUAGUGGGAGGAGGUAGCUCGCUCUAAUCGCAGGAAACACGGCUGGGAGGAAGCACUCCUUGGCACGCAGAGCACCAGGGGUGUGUGCGGGAACUCCUGGACUCCACCGCACCAGUGUCCCUGCUGACCAAGCCCCUGGUGGCAGGAGUCUCCUGGCUUAGGCUGGUGGAACUAAGUUGUCCAUGGACCUUUAUUUUAUUUAUUUACAUGUGGUGCUGAGAAUUGAACCCGGAGCCCCACACCUGCUAGAGCAACCCCCCAUGGUCCAAGAAGCUUUGAAGACCUGGUGAUGACCCAGUCAUUCCCCUGAUUCUCUCAGCAUCCUUCCUGGAUCUGAAUAAACCUGCAAAAGCAGGUGUGGGUUGUACAAUCUUGGCUCCCUGAACUGUGAUCUGUGAUAUGCUGUCUACUCAGCAGGAGGAUGUCUAUAAGGAGGUGCACAAAAGAACAUUUCAGCAUCUUGCAUUAAAAAUCAACAAUUAUGACAUUGUCAUUUUGCUUUGUGAGAUCCUUUUGUUGAGUACAGAAUUAUUACUCCAUCUAUCUAUCUACUCUAUCUAGCUUUCUUUUUUUCUUCUGGGUGGGAUUGAACCCAGGGGUGCUCUACCACUGAUUUAUACCCUCAGCCCUUUUAUUUUGUUUUGAGACAGAGUCUCAUUAAGUUGCCCAAGCUGGCCUCAAUUUAUGAUCUUCCAUCUUCAGCCUCCUGAGUAGCAGGGAUCACGGCUACAUACUACCAUGCCUGGCUUGUGUAUCUGUUUCUUUCAGCCAAUAGGAGCUCUGAGUUACUGGGGCUCUUCUUUGCCUUGGCCACCAUGAACUCAAAUCUAAAUGCAGGUCCGUGGUCUCAGAUGCAAAAGUUUCCCUGCAGACUCAGUGUAGUAUUUUACUUCCUUUUUAAUAAAUGUUGCUGUUAUUGUUGUUGCUAUACGAAGAAUAGAACCCAGAGUCUUGCCUAUGCUAGGCAAGCACUCUACCACCAAGCUACUCCUCAGUCCUUAAAUAAAUAUCUUAAAUGAUUA